ensembl:miRNA rno-mir-1298 rno-mir-1298
GGCAAACUGAAGAAGUGUUGGAGAGAUGAGGGGUUAAGAGUUCAUUCGGCUGUCCAGAUGUAUCCAAGUACCCUGUUAUUUGGCAAUAAAUACAUCUGGGCAACUGAUUGAACUUUUCGCUUCUCUUGACUCAACUGGA